UACGUAGGUGGCAAGCGUUGUUCGGAAUUAUUGGGCGUAAAGCGCGCGUAGGCGGUUACUUAAGUCGGAUGUGAAAGCCCUCGGCUUAACUGAGGAAGUGCACCCGAAACUGAGUAGCUAGAGUACGAAAGAGGGUCGCGGAAUUCCCGGUGUAGAGGUGAAAUUCGUAGAUAUCGGGAGGAACACCGGUGGCGAAGGCGGCGACCUGGGUCGAGACUGACGCUGAGGCGCGAAAGCGUGGGGAGCAAACAGG
rnacentral:rRNA from 1 species